GACGAACGCUGGCGGCGUGCCUAAUACAUGCAAGUCGAACGAAGGGGGGACGGGUGAGUAACACGUGGGUAACCUCCCAACAGAGGGGAUAACACUUGGAAAUAGGUGCUAAACUGAUACUGAGGGAUGGACCCGCGGUGCAUUAGGUAGUUGGUGAGGUAACGGCUCACCAAGGCCACGAUGCAUAGCCGCCCUGAGAGGGUGUUCGGCCACACUGUGACUGAGACACGGCCCAGACUCCUACGGGCGGCAGCAGUAGGGAAUCUUCGGCAAUGGACGAAAGUCUUACCGAGCAACUCCGCGUGAGUGAAGAAGGUUUUCGGAUCGUAAAACUCUGUUGUUAGUGAAGCGGUAUCUAACCAGUAGGCCACGGCUAACUACGUGCCAGCAGCCGCGGUAAUAC
rnacentral:rRNA from 1 species